rnacentral:lncRNA from 10 species
UCCCAGCAGCUCAGCGUGCAGAAGACCGAGGAGCCAUUGGUCAGUGUAGGAGGUGCCUGGAGUUUUGGAGAUGGGAUCCACAGGAAUUCAACACAACACGAAAUAAUCAACAAAUUCGGGGAAUGUUAAUCUGACCAUCACCAGUUACAAAUGAUGUUUCAUGCUACCUUCUAUUCCUGCCUUCAUAAAUCAAGCUCUAAAUCUCCAGGAAAAAAUGUGCUCAGGAUGGCCAGAGAAAUGUCCUUCCAACUGUGCAUGGAAAGGUAUGAUUUUGUGCAGCAGGUGAAGGACUGGUUAGAGUAAGUGUGUGCUGAGCUUUUGUGUUUGAAAGCGAGCCUGUGCACUUCUAACGAUUGGAAGGUUUCCUUGCCUUCUCCGAUCUUACACACAGCAAGGACAGCAAAGCCUUCCAGACCUGCCUGUGACAUGCACUGCACAUUCUAAAGAUGCCUAUGCAAUGGAAAACACCACUGUCUGCUCCAGCACAGCUGCCAUUCUUCCAUCUUAUCGACCUUAAUGCAACAACUCCUCACAGGCAGAGAUUUUAAAAUGUGUUCUUGGCAGAAGAGAGACUCAAAGAUGGGACAAAUGUGUCAUUUAAAUGCCUGUUAAAAUGGAAACAGACAUAGUAUAGUCAGAGGAUUGUGGCAGCUAAGAACAUAGUCUCUGGAGCAAAUCUGCAUGGGUGGCAAUGCCAAGCACAUGAGGUCCUAGUUGUAUGAACUUAGGAAAAGAAAAAGAGAACAUAUAUCCCCCUACCUUUUGAUUUCCAACAGUCUACUGAGAGGCCAAGAUUAUUUGCAGGGAAAGAAAAGGGGAAUGCCAUCCCCACCCUCUCGCAGCUACG